rnacentral:misc_RNA from 1 species
GAAUCCAACGAUGAGUCAAAAAUCAGGCGCGCGCCUCACCGAGAAGCAGGGUUAUUACCUGGCCUUCAUCCAUACCUACGCCCACAUGUUCGGACGUCCACCCGCUGAAGCCGACAUCCAGCGCCACUUCCGCGUCAGCCCGCCUUCGGUCCACCAGAUGAUCGUCACCCUCGAACGAAACGGCUUCAUCCGACGUCAACCCGGCGUCCCCAGAAGCA